AUCGGGGCUGGGUGAGUCGACCCCUAAGGCGAGGCCGAAAGGCGUAGUCGAUGGGAAAUUGGUUAAUAUUCCAAUACUUCUGUGUAAUGCGAUGAGAGGACGGAGAAGGUUAAGUCAGCCUGGCGUUGGUUGUCCAGGUGGAAGGAUGUAGGUAUGUAUCUUAGGCAAAUCCGGGGUACUCUAUACUGAGAUCCGAUAGCAAGCUGUACUUGUACAGUGAAGUGGCUGAUACCAUGCUUCCAGGAAAAGUCUCUAAGCUUCAGUUACACAGGAAUCGUACCCGAAACCGACACAGGUGGUCAGGUCGAGUAGACCAAGGCGCUUGAGAGAACUCUGCUGAAGGAACUAGGCAAAAUGGUACCGUAACUUCGGGAGAAGGUACGCUGUUGUUGGUGAUGGAACUUGCUUCCUGAGCUGACGACAGCCGCAGAAACCAGGCCGCUGCAACUGUUUAUUAAAAACAUAGCACUCUGCAAACACGAAAGUGGACGUAUAGGGUGUGAUGCCUGCCCGGUGCUGGAAGGUUAAUUGAUGGGGUUAGCGUAAGCGAAGCUCUUGAUCGAAGCCCCAGUAAACGGCGGCCGUAACUAUAACGGUCCUAAGGUAGCGAAAUUCCUUGUCGGGUAAGUUCCGACCUGCACGAAUGGCAUAAUGAUGGCGGCGCUGUCUCCAGCAGAGGCUCAGUGAAAUCGAAAUCGCUGUGAAGAUGCAGUGUACCCGCGGCUAGACGGAAAGACCCCGUGAACCUUUACUGCAGCUUGACACUGAACUUUGACCUUACUUGUGUAGGAUAGGUGGGAGGCUUUGAAGUUGGAACGCUAGUUCCAAUGGAGCCGUCCUUGAAAUACCACCCUGGUAAUGUUGAGGUUCUAACUCUGUCCCGUUAUCCGGGACGAGGACCGUGUCUGGUGGGUAGUUUGACUGGGGCGGUCUCCUCCUAAAGAGUAACGGAGGAGUACGAAGGUGCGCUCAGCGUGGUCGGAAAUCACGCGUAGAGUAUAAAGGCAAAAGCGCGCUUAACUGCGAGACCCACAAGUCGAGCAGGUACGAAAGUAGGUCUUAGUGAUCCGGUGGUUCUGUAUGGAAGGGCCAUCGCUCAACGGAUAAAAGGUACUCUGGGGAUAACAGGCUGAUACCGCCCAAGAGUUCAUAUCGACGGCGGUGUUUGGCACCUCGAUGUCGGCUCAUCUCAUCCUGGGGCUGAAGCAGGUCCCAAGGGUAUGGCUGUUCGCCAUUUAAAGAGGUACGCGAGCUGGGUUUAGAACGUCGUGAGACAGUUCGGUCCCUAUCUACCGUGGGCGCUGGAAAUUUGAGAGGAUCUGCUCCUAGUACGAGAGGACCAGAGUGGACGAACCUCUGGUGUACCGGUUGUGACGCCAGUCGCAUCGCCGGGUAGCUAUGUUCGGAAGGGAUAACCGCUGAAAGCAUCUAAGCGGGAAGCCUACCUCAAGAUAAGAUUUCCCUAGGAAUUUAUUCCUCUAAAGAGCCGUUCGAGACUAGGACGUUGAUAGGUUGGAUGUGGAAGCAUAGUGAUAUGUGAAGCUGACCAAUACUAAUUGCUCGUGAGGCUUGACUAUACAACACCCAAGCAGUUG
rnacentral:rRNA from 1 species